rnacentral:rRNA from 1 species
CACUCCACGGGAGGCAGCAGUGGGGAAUUUUGGACAAUGGGCGAAAGCCUGAUCCAGCCAUGCCGCGUGCAGGAUGAAGGCCUUCGGGUUGUAAACUGCUUUUGUACGGAACGAAACGGCCUUUUCUAAUAAAGAGGGCUAAUGACGGUACCGUAAGAAUAAGCACCGGCUAACUACGUGCCAGCAGCCGCGGUAAUACGUAGGGUGCAAGCGUUAAUCGGAAUUACUGGGCGUAAAGCGUGCGCAGGCGGUUAUGUAAGACAGUUGUGAAAUCCCCGGGCUCAACCUGGGAACUGCAUCUGUGACUGCAUAGCUAGAGUACGGUAGAGGGGGAUGGAAUUCCGCGUGUAGCAGUGAAAUGCGUAGAUAUGCGGAGGAACACCGAUGGCGAAGGCAAUCCCCUGGACCUGUACUGACGCUCAUGCACGAAAGCGUGGGGAGCAAACAGGAUUAGAAACCCUGGUAGUCCCAUG